CAAGGAACAGAAGUUGUGAUAGCCCACCACCUUCUGACAAUGGACAAGAGUGUGUAGGAUCUAGUAUGGAAACUAUGAAUUGUAACUUAAAAGACUGUACAGAACCGUACAGAAAAUUUUAUAAAAGAAAAGGAUGUAAGAGAGGAAACAGAAGAGGAAGAAAAUAGAAAGUUUUUUAUCAUUGACGACUGAAUUCAAGAGAGGAUACACUCACAACAACUGACGUGUACAACAUGUUCUUGUGUAAAAUAGAACUGUGCAUAAGUGCGGGAAAAAUUUGGUUUAUUUGAUCAAUUAUAUAUUGAGGGAUUGUCACUAUUUGAAAGUUGAAAUAUAUGUUAUACAAAUCGUUUCUUUCGUGCA